AAAUUGAAGAGUUUGAUCAUGGCUCAGAUUGAACGCUGGCGGCAGGCCUAACACAUGCAAGUCGAACGGUAACAGGAAGAAGCUUGCUUCUUUGCUGACGAGUGGCGGACGGGUGAGUAAUGUCUGGGAAACUGCCUGAUGGAGGGGGAUAACUACUGGAAACGGUAGCUAAUACCGCAUAACGUCGCAAGACCAAAGAGGGGGACCUUCGGGCCUCUUGCCAUCGGAUGUGCCCAGAUGGGAUUAGCUAGUAGGUGGGGUAACGGCUCACCUAGGCGACGAUCCCUAGCUGGUCUGAGAGGAUGACCAGCCACACUGGAACUGAGACACGGUCCAGACUCCUACGGGAGGCAGCAGUGGGGAAUAUUGCACAAUGGGCGCAAGCCUGAUGCAGCCAUGCCGCGUGUAUGAAGAAGGCCUUCGGGUUGUAAAGUACUUUCAGCGGGGAGGAAGGGAGUAAAGUUAAUACCUU
rnacentral:rRNA from 1 species